AGCUCCAAUAGCGUAUAUUAAAGUUGUUGCAGUUAAAAAGCUCGUAGUUGGAUUUGUGGCGUCCCUUGAGGUCCAAUUUUGGUACUAUUGAGGGAUGCCAUCCUUGGGUGGAACCUGUGUGGCAUUAGGUUGUCGUGCAGGGGAUGCCCAUCUUUUACUGUGAAAAAUUAGAGUGUUCAAAGCAGGCUUAUGCCGUUGAAUAUAUUAGCAUGGAAUAAUGAGAUAGGACCUUGGUCUAUUUUGUUGGUUAGUUUACCGAGGUAAUGAUUAAUAGGGACAGUUGGGGGUAUUCGUAUUCCAUUGUCAGAGGUGAAAUUCUUGGAUUUCUGGAAGACGAACUACUGCGAAAGCAUUUACCAAGGAUGUUUUCA
rnacentral:rRNA from 1 species